GGGCAAAGACCGUGGUCAAUUGAUUAGAUUGCAACAAAUAAUGGCGGUGGCGGUGGCGAGUGCGUCCAUUGAAUGUUAAAAAAGUUACGCACCUAUUCAAAUAGUAUAUAAUAUUCAAUUGAUAAUCCUUUCGCAAGAUACUUGAGGUAUUGGCAUACCUCCUCACCAUAUGGACACACUUUGACCCGCACCCUGAAUACCCUUACCAUUGCGCAGGGCCACCACGCAGUCUUCGAAGGGCAUGUUGCUUAGCCGGAA